UACGGAGGGGGCUAGCGUUGUUCGGAAUUACUGGGCGUAAAGCGCGCGCAGGCGGCUAUUCUAGUCAGAGGUGAAAGGCCCGGGCUCAACCUGGGAACUGCCUUUGAUACUGGAUGGCUUGAGGUCGGGAGAGGGUAGUGGAAUUCCCAGUGUAGAGGUGAAAUUCGUAGAUAUUGGGAAGAACACCGGUGGCGAAGGCGGCUACCUGGUCCGAUACUGACGCUGAGGCGCGAAAGCGUGGGGAGCAAACAGGAUUAGAAACCGAGUAGUCC
rnacentral:rRNA from 1 species